GUCGAGAAUUUUUCACAAUGGGCGCAAGCCUGAUGGAGCGACGCCGCGUGGGGGAUGAAGGGCUUCGGCCUGUAAACCCCUGUCAGCUGCGAACAAACCUUGCCUGUGAACAGCGGGCGAGCUGAUGGUAGCGGCAGAGGAAGGGACGGCUAACUCUGUGCCAGCAGCCGCGGUAAUACAGAGGUCCCGAGCGUUGUUCGGAUUCACUGGGCGUAAAGGGUGCGUAGGCGGUCUCGAAAGUCUGAUGUGAAAGCCCCGGGCCCAACCCGGGAAUGGCAUCGGAAACUGCGGGGCUAGAGGGUUGGAGGGGGGACUGGAAUUCUCGGUGUAGCAGUGAAAUGCGUAGAGAUCGAGAGGAACACCAGUGGCGAAGGCGAGUCCCUGGACAACCCCUGACGCUGAGGCACGAAAGCUAGGGGAGCAAACAGGAUUAGAUACCCUUGUAGUCC
rnacentral:rRNA from 1 species